AUUACCGAGCAAAACUAUCUGUAAAAAGAGGAGAUGACUUUCAGAGUGAGGGUUGUAAGGACUGUGCUUGUUGUUGGGACAGUCAGCCUGGCCGUCAUGACUUACGGGCCAGCCUUACUCGGCUUCACGGUGUCGGAAAUAGCUGCCGGAUCAGUGGGGGCCAAAAUGAUGUCUGCAUCGGCCCUCGCGAACGGGGGCUGCGUGGCAGCCGGGGGAGUCGUGGUCACACUCCAGUCUGUUGGGGCCGGCAGUGGGCACGUAGGAGCUGCGGGCUACGCCGUGUCUGGAGCCAUCGGAGCCAUCUCGGGAGGUCUCCGAGUCUUUGGGCGCUAAACUGUCCUCACGGUUGAAAAUGCAGGUCUCGGGGAGAAAUGGCCUGACCUGUGCCUGAAAAAAAAAUCAAAUCUAAUCAAAUUAUAGAAUUUAAAAAGACAACAGAAAACACAGUGGAAUCAAGCAGGAUAUUGAAUACAUAAAUUAUAAUGUAACAGUGAUAUUUCUAUCCAAAGUAUGAGGCCUGAAUGCAGUGGCUUAUCGGGGGGGGGACAGAGGGGCAACCCCCCCCCCGGAUUUAACUGAGAAUACUUAAUAGGUGAGGAGGAAAGAAACUAAUCGGUAAAUUUAUUGAUCAAAUAAAUAGGCUAGGUUCUCCCAUUA